GGUGCACCAGUUGUCACGCCAGUGGCACAGCUGGGCAGCUAAGUGCGGAUCGGAUAAACGCUGAAAGCAUCUAAGCAUGAAGCCGACCACAAGAUAAGAUAUCCCACUGGGUUAACCAGGUAAGACCCCUUGAAGACUACAAGGUAGAUAGGCUCAGAGUGUAAGUGUGGCGACACAUUCAGCUCGGGAGUACUAAUCGGUCGAGGGCUUGACCA
rnacentral:rRNA from 1 species